UACGAAGGGUGCAAGCGUUAAUCGGAAUUACUGGGCGUAAAGCGUACGUAGGCGGUCUUUUAAGCCCGAUGUGAAAGCCCUGGGCUCAACCUGGGAAUGGCACUGGAUACUGGAAGGCUAGAGUACGGUAGAGGAGGGUGGAAUUCCCGGUGUAGCGGUGAAAUGCGCAGAUAUCAGGAAGAACACCAAUGGCGAAGGCAGCUCUCUGGGACGGUACUGACGCUGAGACGCGAAAGCGUGGGGAGCGAACAGG
rnacentral:rRNA from 1 species